rnacentral:rRNA from 1 species
GGAGUCUGGGCCGUAUCUCAGUCCCAAUGUGGCCGUUGAACCUCUCAGUCCGGCUACUGAUCGUCGCCUUGGUAUGCCGUUACCACACCAACUAGCUAAUCAGCCGUAAGCCCAUCUGUUAGCGGAUUACUCCUUUCCCAUUAGAAUCAUGUGAUUCCUAUGGCAUAUGCGGUAUUAGCAGUCAUUUCUAACUGUUGUUCCCCUCUAAUAGGCAGGUUGCUUACGUAUUACUCACCAGUCCGCCACUAAAGCCAUUGUUAUAAAUCUUCAUCAUGUCCCUUUGAACAAGUUCUCCGUUCUCUUCAAAAUCAAUAUAACGACUUCCGUUCGACUUGCAUGUCUUAUGUGCGCCGCCAGCGUUUAUC